rnacentral:misc_RNA from 1 species
CUCGAGCAAUGACAACAUAACCAGGCUCUGGAACAGCACCCUGAGCCUUGUGUCCAAUUACUUCCACAAUUGCUCUCUGGUCGGGAUNGUCGGGAGAGUCGGGGGGAGGCGACAGAGGGCGGCGGACACCCGCGAGGGAGGAGUAGACGUAGAGGAUUUCAGUGUUACGAUAGGGUGCCACGUACGCACCUUUCCCUGGUUUCACUUCAGCUGCUUUCCCUAACACCACUCCUGGUGUCACCAUCUCCGGUUCUUCUUGCAUUAUCCCUAGCUCUGUCUGCUGCUCUUCUUCCUCGUAUGUGCUAAGCGAAUGAAUCGCCUCAAAUUCGC